GACGAACGCUGGCGGCGUGCUUAACACAUGCAAGUCGAGCGGUAAGGCUCCUUCGGGAGUACACGAGCGGCGAACGGGUGAGUAACACGUGAGCAAUCUGCCCUUCACUUUGGGAUAACUUCCGGAAACGGAAGCUAAUACCGAAUACGACCACUUCCGGCAUCUGAUGGUGGUGGAAAGUUCCGGCGGUGAAGGAUGAGCUCGCGGCCUAUCAGCUUGUUGGUGAGGUAACGGCUCACCAAGGCUUCGACGGGUAGCCGGCCUGAGAGGGUGACCGGCCACACUGGGACUGAGACACGGCCCAGACUCCUACGGGAGGCAGCAGUGGGGAAUAUUGGACAAUGGGCGAAAGCCUGAUCCAGCAACGCCGCGUGAGGGAUGACUGCCUUCGGGUUGUAAACCUCUUUCAGCGGGGACGAAGCGAAAGUGACGGUACCCGCAGAAGAAGCACCGGCCAACUACGCGCCAGCAGCCGCAGUAAGAC
rnacentral:rRNA from 1 species